GUAGGGUCCGAGCGUUGUCCGGAAUUAUUGGGCGUAAAGGGCUCGUAGGCGGUCCGUCACGUCGGGAGUGAAAACUCAGGGCUCAACCCUGAGCGUGCUUCCGAUACGGGCGGACUAGAGGUAUGCAGGGGAGAACGGAAUUCCUGGUGUAGCGGUGGAAUGCGCAGAUAUCAGGAGGAACACCGGUGGCGAAGGCGGUUCUCUGGGCAUUACCUGACGCUGAGGAGCGAAAGCAUGGGGAGCGAACAGGAUUAGAUACCCUGGUAGUCCAUGCCGUAAACGUUGGGCACUAGGUGUGGGGACCUUCCACGGUUUCCGUGCCGCAGCUAACGCAUUAAGUGCCCCGCCUGGGGAGUACGGCCGCAAGGCUA
rnacentral:rRNA from 1 species